rnacentral:rRNA from 1 species
GGCGAACGCUGGCGGCAGGCUUAACACAUGCAAGUCGAGCGGGCAUCUUCGGAUGUCAGCGGCAGACGGGUGAGUAACACGUGGGAACGUACCCUUCGGUUCGGAACAACUCUGGGAAACUGGAGCUAAUACCGGAUACGCCCUUAUGGGGAAAGGUUUACUGCCGAAGGAUCGGCCCGCGUCUGAUUAGCUAGUUGGUGGGGUAACGGCCUACCAAGGCGACGAUCAGUAGCUGGUCUGAGAGGAUGAUCAGCCAUACUGGGACUGAGACACGGCCCAGACUCCUACGGGAGGCAGCAGUGGGGAAUAUUGGACAAUGGGCGCAAGCCUGAUCCAGCCAUGCCGCGUGAGUGAUGAAGGCCUUAGGGUUGUAAAGCUCUUUUGUCCGGGACGAUAAUGACGGUACCGGAAGAAUAAGCCCCGGCUAACUUCGUG